rnacentral:piRNA from 1 species
UAAAGCAGGAAUUCCUUUUAGGUGGCUGCC